GAGACCAGGACGUUGAUAGGUCGGGUGUGUAAGCGCAGUAAUGCGUUCAGCUAACCGAUACUAAUUGCCCGUAAGGCUUGAUCCUAUAACA
rnacentral:rRNA from 1 species